rnacentral:rRNA from 1 species
UACGUAGGGGGCAAGCGUUGUCCGGAAUCAUUGGGCGUAAAGAGCGCGUAGGCGGCCCUGUAAGUCCGCUGUGAAAGUCAAGGGCUCAACCCUUGGAUGCCGGUGGAUACUGCAGGGCUAGAGUCCGGAAGAGGCGAGUGGAAUUCCUGGUGUAGCGGUGGAAUGCGUAGAGAUCGGGAGGAACACCAAUAGCGAAGGCAGCUCGCUGGGACGUUACUGACACUGAGGCGCGAAGGCCAGGGGAGCAAACGGGAGUUAGAAA